GACGAACGCUGGCGGCGUGCUUAACACAUGCAAGUCGAACGGAAAGGCCCUGCUUUUGUGGGGUGCUCGAGUGGCGAACGGGUGAGUAACACGUGAGUAACCUGCCCAUGACUUUGGGAUAACUUCAGGAAACUGGGGCUAAUACCGGAUAGGAGCUCCUGCUGCAUGGUGGGGGUUGGAAAGUUUCGGCGGUUGGGGAUGGACUCGCGGCUUAUCAGCUUGUUGGUGGGGUAGUGGCUUACCAAGGCUUUGACGGGUAGCCGGCCUGAGAGGGUGACCGGCCACAUUGGGACUGGGAUACGGCCCAGACUCCUACGGGAGGCAGCAGUGGGGAAUAUUGCACAAUGGGCGGAAGCCUGAUGCAGCAACGCCGCGUGCGGGAUGACGGCCUUCGGGUUGUAAACCGCUUUCGCCUGUGACGAAGCGUGAGUGACGGUAAUGGGUAAAGAAGCACCGGCUAACUACGUG
rnacentral:rRNA from 1 species